CACCAGUCCACCACCACUGCUCGCACUCACUCCACCGCUGCCCACUUCUUGUUUGUAUUGUAUCCAGACUCCAGAGGAAGCCGAGAGGGCCAAUGAGGCAAGGCAUGAGCUCCCCUUCCGCCGCCGCGGCGCUCGUGCUCCUCCUGGCCCUGCUCGCCGGAGGCCAGUGCCGAGAGGCCCAGCUCGACGCCGCGGACGCCGGCACCGGCACGGAGAACUACACCGCCAGCGACGCCGCCGUGUACUGGGGCCCCUGGCAGAGGGCCCGGGCCACCUGGUACGGCCAGCCCAACGGCGCCGGCCCCGACGACAACGGUGGCGCGUGCGGAUUCAAGCACACCAACCAGUACCCCUUCAUGUCCAUGGGCUCCUGCGGCAACCAGCCAUUGUUCAAGGACGGCAAGGGCUGCGGCUCCUGCUACAAGAUUCGGUGCAGGAAGGACCCGUCCUGCUCCGGGCGGACGGAGACGGUGAUCAUCACCGACAUGAACUACUACCCGGUGUCCAAGUACCACUUCGACCUCAGCGGCACUGCGUUCGGCAGGCUGGCCAAGCCCGGCCUCAACGACAAGCUCCGCCACUCCGGCAUCAUCGACAUCGAGUUCACCAGGGUGCCGUGCGAGUUCCCGGGCCUGAAGAUCGGGUUCCACGUGGAGGAGUACUCGAACCCCGUCUACUUCGCGGUGCUGGUGGAGUACGAGGACGGCGACGGCGACGUGGUGCAGGUGGACCUGAUGGAGUCCAAGACGGCGCGCGGCCCGCCGACGGGGCGGUGGACGCCGAUGCGCGAGUCCUGGGGCUCCGUCUGGCGCAUGGACACCAACCACCGCAUGCAGCCGCCCUUCUCCAUCCGCAUCCGCAACGAGUCCGGCAAGACGCUCGUCGCCAACAACGUCAUCCCGGCCAACUGGCGCCCCAACACCUUCUACCGCUCCUUCGUCCAGUACAGCUAACCGAUCGGGAUCCGUGCCCUGCCCGCAAUUGGAGCUGGCUGGCUGGGGCGCUACUCGGCUCGGUCACCAUCGUCUACAGUACUAUACUAUGCUCUACUACCACUAGACUGCUGCUGUUACUACUAGUCUACUACCACCAAGUACGGCGGAACGGAACAGCUAGUCGUCGUCGGCGGCCUUGGGAGGGGAGGUGUCUCCGGUCACCGUGCCGUUGCAGUUGUAUCGUGAUCAUGGUCCUGGGAGUUGUUGCAUCCGGGGCGCGCUUUUUAGGUCAGGCGUCGUGUGCGAUGUUUGUGGGGUCAGGCUGGCAUGUCAUGCCGUGCGUGACCCUGAUUGCGAGCCGGCAAGCAAGAAGACAAAAAAACUAAAGCCGUGUGGGAAAAUGGAGGAGGCAGGCGUACAAGCUACGCUCUCCCGCCCACUGUUGCUUUUAUAAUUUAUCAUCAUCAUCAUCUUCAUUCCGAUCGGUGAUUAAUCGAAAAGUAUAUUGUAAUGUAUAAACGCCAUUUUCCUUUCGUCAGUGCCUUUUUUUUCCUGGUUGUGGAUGUUUUGUUUGCGCAUUCAGCCUUGCUGUGCUGAAGCCAAACGCAAGUAAUGUGCUGAAGCCAAACGCAAGUACACAAGUAAUGUACAUAAUGAAGAUGUGAAAGAAAGAAAAAACGACAGAAAUAUAAACUCCCGUUUGACG
rnacentral:misc_RNA from 1 species